GUCGACUUUACGCGCGGAUCGAGCAAUAAACAGCAGCUGUUACUUAUGCUAUAUAUACUAGUUUCUUCUUGUAUUGUCUUAUUAUACCUUCUUAAACUAGUAAUGUAAUAAAUACUUGGUUUGGAUUCCAGUGUGUUGUUGACAUUAUAAAAUGAUUCUGUAUGUUAAUGUUUUUUGUCCUUAUAAACUUUGCUUAUAUUGUGGUUGAUUUGGGUACAAGUACUGCUCAGUGUUGUUUGGUUGUGAUGUUGAUUGAAUAAUGUAUUUCUCCAUCUCCUUUUCCCUUCAAAGGAGGCUUCCAAUUUGUUUGGUCAAUUUAAUUAUUAAUAUAGUCCCUUCUUAAAAAAAAUUGGUUCGUGAUCGUGGCUUCAAAAAAUUACUAUUAGAAUUUAAUUGUAACGCUAACCAACUUUUUGGUAAAAUAUUAAUGAACGAUUAAGAGGUGAAAUAUUUUUUUUUGAAAAGUUAGCGUGACAUCCGCUUCAUUUAUCGAAGAAGUGAAUUAAAGAAGGGAAUUAAACUAUAGAAAAAUGAAGAAGUGAAUUAAAGAAGCGAAUUAAACUAUAGGGACGAAUGGAGCGGGAAAAAAAAAAAAAAAAAACAGUCCCACACAUUGUUCAUAUGCAGUUUUUUUUUUUUUUUUUUUUGAGAUAGAUAACACGCUACAUUUAAAAAUAAAUUUAGCUGAAAAUAUAAAUCAGCUAGAAUUCGAAUUUUAAUCUUGAAUAUCAACCACCGAACUCUUCGUAACUUGCUAUAGUUACAGUCGGUGAUUCGUAAGCAGUUAAUCUCUAAAUAGAAGUGAAUUAAGCCGAUUUUGUUGGCUCCAAAUAGUACAGGUUCAUAGAACGAUUUUUCUCUUUUUUUUUUAAAAAAAAAUCCUUUGCUAACUAUUUAGAACGCAUGAUACGGCCAAUUACUUCAUUUUGUCGUCACCACUGACGCAUCCACGCCCAAAUCCACUCCUCUUCCUGUCUCUUCCAUGCAAUUCGACCCACAACCUCCGUAUAUAUAUCUCACCGCUCACCUCCUUGUAAUAGAAAUAGUAGUAACAGAAGAGGUCAGUAAAAAUGGAAACUUUACAAAAUAAAGGAGAGAGAGGCGGCGGCAGCGAGUUGAGGAAGGCGGAGUCUGACGGAGCAGCCUGGCGAGAAGAGGUCCGGGCGGAGCACUGGCGCGAGCUCGGGUGGAGCUCCGGCGGCGUGAGGGCGCUCGGGUGGAACUCCGGCGGAGCUAGGCAUCCUCAGAGCUCGGAGAGGGCGAUGGGAGUUAGAGAAGGGAGAAAGGCGAAGGGGGAAAUGGAAGUAGCUCUUGCGGGUCGGGGUGGCAGUCUUCCGGAGCGGAGGAAAAAGGCGAACCCACUAUCCGCCGGGUUGCGGAUGGUGCGGAGAAGAACGAACCGGCGCCCGCUUACCAUUUACCAGUGGAUCGGGCGACCCAGUUCUCGGGUCGGGGGGAAUUUGCGAACCCAAGACCCGCCGGGUGGAGGAUAGUGCAGAGAAGGCGACCCGAUAUCCACUUACCGGUGACAACGAGUUCAUGGACCAGUGAAGCCCAACUCGAGACCCACAUCCCCAUCAAACUUAGCCGAUUACUCAUUUUAUUAACUUUUGCAACUUAGCUCACUAUUUCUAUAAUUUUUGCAUUUCAGUAUAUGUAAAGGGGAGUAUAGGGCUUUUUUUGCAAAUAGCCCCCUUACAAAUUUUUUUUUUUAAAUUUGGCACUGUCAAAAAUUUAUUUGCAAAAAUAGCCCUGGCCCCGCCACGCAAGCGCCACGUCAGCGCCACGCGGGCGGGGCUGGGCUGGGCCAGAUGGUUAAGUUGAAUACGGUGAACCAUUCACCGUGUUCAAUACAAAAUUUUUGUAUUAGACACGGUGAAUCAUUCACCGUGUCCAAUACAAAAUAGCUAAAAUCGAAAUAUUUGUAUUGGACACGGUGAACCAUUCACCGUGUCCAAUACAAAUAAUUAGACACGGUGAAUGGUUCACCGUGUCUAAUACAAAUACCUCCAACUUAACCAUUGUUGGGGUAUUUGUAUUGGACACGGUGAAUCAUUCACCGUGUCUAAUACAAAAAUUUUGUAUUGAACACGGUGAAUGGUUCCCCGUGUUCAAUUUAAACAUCUGGGCCUGUCCUGUCCGCAUGGCGCUGACGUGGCUCUGACGUGGCAGGGGCAGGACCAUUUUUGCAAAUAAUUUUUGGACGGGGCUAAUUUUGCAAAUAAAAUUUGUCAGAAGGCUAUUUGCAAAAAAAGCCCGGAAGUAUAAGUAAUAGCUGUGCAGAGUAAAAUAUCAUUAAGGAAAUGAAUUAGUCUAUUUUCUUCUCCAAAAGUUCGUCUCCAAACCCUUCUUCUUCUUCUCUACCACUUCUCUACUACUUCUCUUCUCUCCUCUACUUCUAUCUCUAUCUCCAUCUCUUUACCCACUCUAUUUCUGUCACUGUAUCUUUCUCUUACCUUUUUUCUUACCUCGAUUACAUCGGAGUUGCUGGAAACCACCAUCAUCCCCGUCGCCAUCCUCACCUCAGCGAAUUCUCAUCAUCGGCGGUUGCGACGAGUCCGGGAUAUUACACUCCUCACCUUCACCCAACUCCAUCAACUUAAAUUUCUUUUUAUUUUCUUCAAUUAAUUAAUCUCAAUGGCUGCAGCAGUUAGGUACUAUCUCUUCUUCUUUACCAAAAAUUGUUUUUAUUUAAUAUUUUUUUGAGGGUUCGAUGACGUUGAUUCUUUUCUUUCUAAAUCAAUAUGAUUUUGAUUUUAUAUUAUAUGAAAAAUGUGUAAUGUUUUUAUUUAAAUUUGUAUUGUAUAGCUCUGCGAAGGAGGUUCUUCCUCCUCCUCUAACCUCUGAAUCAGAACCACCUAAUCUCUUUGAUGGAACCACCAGGUAAUUUGUUAUCCUCUAGUUAAAGCCUAUUAUUGUAAGGCUAAUUUUUUCUUUUUUAACUUAAUUGGUUAUGCUAUGAAGGUUGUACAUAUCUUAUACAUGCCCAUAUGCGCAGCGCACCUGGAUUGCGAGGAACUAUAAGGUGAUUACUUGGUCUCUCAGAUCAUCUUAAUUUGAAUGUUCUAGCACUUCUUACAUUUUCUGUAUCUAGAAUUAAUCUCGAGCUCUUAAUUAUGUUGCUGAAGCAGGGACUGCAGGAGAAGAUAAAGUUAGUUCCAAUUGAUCUGCAAAAUAGGCCAGCAUGGUACAAGGAGAAAGUUUACUCUACUAACAAGGUUUGAUGCAUUUUUCUUCUUCUUCUUCUUUUUUUUUCGUUAUGUUAUUUCCUUGACGAAUUACGGACGUUAAAUUAACAUUCUCUUAAUUGUCGAAGAAAAAUAAUUCACAAAAGAACCUCAUGAUCAACCCACAAGGUCNUUUUAUCUUUUCGGAAGCUUUUUCGUUAACAUUUCGUUAAAUUAUAUACAAAAAACUUCAGAUAACCAUCUAUAUUUAUCGAAUAUUCACUUUAGUAUCUUUUAAUUUUAACUUUGUCACUGAUUUAAGAAAAAAAAAUAAUAAAAUUGAUAACAAAAAGAGAAAAACGAAACCACAGGGGGGCAAAUUGAUACGUUUUAAACCACAGGGGGGUUUUUGAAGUUUUCCCUUAAUUUUGUCGUCACCACUGACGCAUCCACGCCCAAAUCCACUGCUCUUCCAGUCUCUUCCAUACGAUCCGACCCACAGCCCUCCCUAUAUAUAUAUCGCACUGCUCACCCCUUCACCUUCACCCAACUCCAUCAACUUAAAUUUCUUUUUAUUUUCUUCAAUUAAUUAAUCUCAAUGGCUGCAGCAGUUAGGUACUAUCUGUUUUUUAUUUAAUAAUUUUUUGAUGAUUCAAUUUUGUUGAUUCUUUUCUUUCUAAAUCAAUAUGAUUUUGAUUUUAUAUUGUAUGAAAAAUGUGUAAUGUUUGUGUUUAAAUUUGUAUUGUGUAGCUAUGCGAAAGAGGUGCUUCCUCCUCCUCUAACCUCUGAAUCAGAACCACCUCAUCUCUUUGAUGGAACCACCAGGUAAUUUUGUUAUCCUCUAGUUAAAGCCUAUUAUUUGUAAGGCUAAUUUUCUCUUUUUUAACUUAAUUGGUUAUGCUAUGAAGGUUGUACAUAUCUUAUACAUGCCCAUAUGCGCAGCGCACCUGGAUUGCGAGGAACUAUAAGGUGAUUACUUGAUCUCUCAGAUCAUCUUAAUUUGAAUGUUCUAGCACUUCUUACAUAUUCUGCAUCUAGAAUUAAUCUCGAGCUCUUAAUUAUGUUGCUGAAGCAGGGACUGCAGGAGAAGAUAAAGUUAGUUCCAAUUGAUCUGCUAAAUAGGCCAGCAUGGUACAAGGAGAAAGUUUACUCUACUAACAAGGUUUGAUGCAUUUUUCUUCUUCUUCUUCUUUUUUUUUCGUUAUGUUAUUUCCUUGACGAAUUACGGACGUUAAAUUAACAUUCUCUUAAUUGUCGAAGAAAAAUAAUUCACAAAAGAACCUCAUGAUCAACCCACAAGGUCUUAACCUUUAUGCAGUUGUAAGGAAAUGUGCCAAUAAAGUGUCAGAACAAGAAAAAUUAUUAAAGCUUUACAAAUUGCAAGGUAGAUCAAUUUGUUCCGGAUUGUAACUACUUAUCAAUGAGUAUAUAUGGAGCUCUAGAUCUCUUACAGUUACCUUUGUUGUCUUGAAUCAAGAAUUGAAAAAAAAAAAAUUCUGGUAAUUGUUGUUUUGUGUAUCAUAUACGAAAUAAUAGAUUUUCUCAGGAACAAAUCACGUCUAGGCCGAUGCAUAUCAUUCCUCUUUUAUGUACCGAGUAGAGAAACUUAACGCGCCAUCACUUUUGGUUUGCGUAUAGCUAACCAGUUUUACUCUUUUCAAACUAUAUUUCAUCGAAAAGAACUCACAUUUAUCUGAGGAAUAUGCCUCACUAGUACACUUUUUUUUCGAGCAGGUACCUUCCUUGGAGCACAAUAAUGAGGUCAAAGGAGAGAGUCUGGAUUUGAUCAAGUAUAUCGAUAGCCAUUUCGAAGGCCCUAAAUUGCUCCCUGAUGUGAGAGAAAUAGUCGAAAUGAAGCUCGUGUGUUACCGUUAUUUUCCACUUCGUAACUUAAUUUUCCAAAACAUUUGCAGGAUCCUGAAAAGCGGCAAUUUGCUGAGGAACUGCUGUCUUAUACUGAUACAUUCAACAAAGAAGUAUUCACAGCAUCACGCUCUGAGGGAGAAGUCGAUGACAAAGUUGGUGAGAGCCUUACUGUAACUGAUUUAGGUACUCGCGCAGAUCAAAAGAAUGAGGUUUGGUGUGUUACAUACUGAUUUUAUAUAUGUGGCGUUCUUCUUCAGCUCCUGAAUGGGACAAAAUAGAAGAUGCCCUUUCGAAAUUCGAUGAUGGUCCUUUUUUCCUUGGCCAAUUUAGCCUGGUAAGCUAAUAAUUAGUGACUUCUUUGUUUUUCACUCGCUUUCAAUUGUUCUCGUGGUUAAAAUGGCUGAUGUAUUUGUAAUUUAUUCUCACUUACAUGGAUUAACUAAACCAAUUUGGAUUACGUGAAUGGCUAAUUUAAGUAAACUCGAGUAAUUAGAAUGGCUGGUUUGUUUCUGAUAUGAGAUGAUUCAACUGAUCAAUGUUUUCAAGCAUGUAGAGAAUCAGGAAUGUAAUUUCUUUCGCCUUAUAAUUAUCGAAAACUUUAUCAGUUCUUUUCAUGGAUUUACGUUCUGUAAUUUUCUUUUUUUUAUUGCAAAUAUCAGGUGGAUAUAGCAUACGCUCCGUUUAUUGAAAGGUUCCAGCUUUUCCUUGCGGAGGCAAAGAACUAUGACAUCACCAAAGGCAGGCCAAAGCUAAAAUUAUGGAUUGAGGUAACUCGAAACAAAAAAGUAUGAGAAUGCAGUGCUUAUAUAUUUGAAUUGUGUGAUAUUCCCUUCUCUCUCUCUCUCUCCUUUUCUGUGCUUGAGACAAUUAGUUCGAACAACGUCUUAUAUUUAUUUGCACUUGUAUCUAGUGGAAUCAUAUUCAUCUAAUAAGUUUUUUGACAUUUUGAUGUACUGUAAUGUUCCUUUUUCUCCUCCUCUCAAAAAUAUCAAUUCAAUUGUUAGUUCAUUAUUUUAACUCCAAUGUAAUGUUGUCUUAGGAGUUGAACAAGAUUGAUGCCUACACGCAAACGAAACGAGACCCUCAAGAACUACUUGCUCAUGCUAAGAAGCUGGGUUUGGUGAGAUCCUUGUGCAUGGCUAAUCCUUCUUUUUCUAUUUUGUGUAUCAAAAAAUGCACCUAAACUCAGGUUGUGUAUUAACAUGAUGUGGUUGCAUUACCUUUUCUUUUGCUCUGGUGUUUAUUUUUCUCCAGAUUGCGUGAAGACUCCUCUCUCUCUUUCUCAGAAUACUCUUUGGUUUCUGCAGGUUAAUUAGAAGCUAAACUUUACCUUUCUUCUUUCAUAUCCAGUUUUGCUAUCAUUAACACCUCCAUGAACUCGCAAGCGGAAGCUGCGAUCCAAAACUCUUCUUAGUAUUUCUGACAAAAUCCCGUAAUCUUAAUUUGGGAAGAAGUGGAAGAUGUAAAAAAUGGAUAAUAUUUUCUCUCAAAUUUUGUUUUCUGAUUAGUUAUUACCAGAUCACUUGCUCUGUGAUGAAUUCUGUCAUGUAUAUGAUCGAAAAAUUUUGCUUAAUUACUGAUUAAUCAGUGCUGAUGAAUGCAGAUAUCGCGCAUAUGAUUACGAAUAAAGCGACAGUCACUGUUAGUCCUUGAUUCUGCCCUGAUUCGGUCGACUUUACGCGCGGAUCAAGCAAUAAACAGCAGCUGUUACUUAUGCUAUAUAUACUAGUUUCUUCUUGUAUUGUCUUAUUAUACCUUCUUAAACUAGUAAUGUAAUAAAUACUUGGUUUGGAUUCCAGUGUGUUGUUGACAUUAUAAAAUGAUUCUCUAUGUUAAUGUUUUUUGUCCUUAUAAAAUUUGCUAAUAUUGUGGUUGAUUUGGG
rnacentral:lncRNA from 1 species